GUGGGGAAUCUUGCGCAAUGGGCGAAAGCCUGACGCAGCCAUGCCGCGUGAAUGAUGAAGGUCUUAGGAUUGUAAAAUUCUUUCACCGGGGACGAUAAUGACGGUACCCGGAGAAGAAGCCCCGGCUAACUUCGUGCCAGCAGCCGCGGUAAUACGAAGGGGGCUAGCGUUGCUCGGAAUUACUGGGCGUAAAGGGCGCGUAGGCGGAUCGUUAAGUCAGGGGUGGAAUCCCAGAGCUCAACUCUGGAACUGCCCUUGAGACUGGCGAUCUUGAGUGUGAGAGAGGUAUGUGGAACUCCGAGUGUAGAGGUGAAAUUCGUAGAUAUUCGGAAGAACACCAGUGGCGAAGGCGACAUACUGGCUCAUUACUGACGCUGAGGCGCGAAAGCGUGGGGAGCAAACAGGAUUAGAUACCCCAGUAGUCC
rnacentral:rRNA from 1 species